rnacentral:rRNA from 1 species
AUUGAACGCUGGCGGCAGGCCUAACACAUGCAGUCGAACGGUAACAGGAAGCAGCUUGCUGCUUCGCUGACGAGUGGCGGACGGGUGAGUAAUGUCUGGGAAACUGCCUGAUGGAGGGGGAUAACUACUGGAAACGGUAGCUAAUACCGCAUAACGUCGCAAGACCAAAGAGGGGGACCUUCGGGCCUCUUGCCAUCGGAUGUGCCCAGAUGGGAUUAGCUAGUAGGUGGGGUAACGGCUCACCUAGGCGACGAUCCCUAGCUGGUCUGAGAGGAUGACCAGCCACACUGGAACUGAGACACGGUCCAGACUCCUACGGGAGGCAGCAGUGGGGAAUAUUGCACAAUGGGCGCAAGCCUGAUGCAGCCAUGCCGCGUGUAUGAAGAAGGCCUUUCGGGUUGUAAAGUACUUUUCAGCGGGGAGGAAGGCGAUAAGGUUAAUAACCUUGUCGAUUGACGUUACCCGCAGAAGAAGCACCGCUAACUCCC